CCAUCAGAACUCCGCAGUUAAGCGUGCUUGGGCUGAGAGUAGUACUAGGAUGGGUGACCUCCUGGGAAGUCCUCGUGUUGCACUCCU
rnacentral:rRNA from 1 species